GUCUUCGUGGUAUAAUGGUCAGCUCAGUCGGCGCGUAACCGAGAGGUCCGAGGUUCGAGUCUCGGCGAGGACA
rnacentral:tRNA from 1 species